UAGUAAAAAUAAAAUAUGACCCAGAACUAAUUGCAAAAGUUUUGAAUCUUUGUUCAUUGAAUAGGUCUGGUAUAUGUAUAUGUCAGAAAAAAAGUUGCACGUAUAACUCUGUGCACAACUUUUUUUACAAGCGUUCAAAGUUCACGAAUUUUAACUUUAUAUUUUAAGACCCGAACUGUACACCAUACACGCAGUUUUUUCCUAUGACGUAACAAUUUUACGUAGGCACGCGCGUCAUUGAAAACUUGUCAUAUGAUUUCGUGAAACUUCCUUCGAAAAAUAAAUAUCAUUUUUCAUCAACAAUAGCGUUUGGAUGGCAAAGAUACGACAUCCAUGAUUUACACACCAAAGGUCAUUUGAUGAUUAUUUUAUGUUCAGCUGUCUCUUGUAUCAAGAUGAUACAAGCCACAUUACCAAACCAUGCUGAUGGAACAAACAACGAUAUGAAGGGCGUUGCAUUUCGAAACCCGUUGUGCAUUUCUGAUUUCGGGAUCUACAAGUAAAUAUCAACAUGGCAACAGAUUCUACAACGUGCGUAUUUUGUGCGCAGGAUAUCCAGAAUGGGUCCCAAUUGUCACUCUCAGAGAGAAGGGAAGCCACAGUGUUAACCAUGCUAGCGAUCUGAGGAAUUCAAGUAUACAAGUAUACGAACAAUUACAGGCCAAAUUGUGCACCAAGACUGUAGAAGGGAUUUUAUUCACAAUAGAAACAUUUCAAAUAGUUCCAAUGUUAAGUGUAACCAAGUUAAAAGACCUUUAAGAUCAAAUGCUAACUUUGCUUUUAAGUGUAAUUGCUCGUUCUGUGGUAAGCCUGCUAAAGUUGCAUCUUGGAAACGUAGAUGUUCAUCCUGGUAGAAGUUUUGAUUUUCAGGAAACACAUCGUCGGAACCCACGGUACACAUUUCGUAUCUACUACAUUUAAUAUUAUUACCGAUACAUGUAUACGGUAAAAAACAUGGGUUUCCGAGGAUGCAGGAAACAAUACAACUUAAAUGUUCUGAGAGAAACAAUCUGUGGGGAAAUGUUGUUUUAAACAGACUGUUGUCAGUUUUGGAUUUUCGUCAGAUUCGAAGAAUGUAUAUUACAGAUCAGACAAUGAAAACCCAAAUAGUUUGGCAUAUAUAUUCAAAAGACACCAAAAUGUGAUUGGAAUAGAGAUUUGUUAUCUCCUACCAUUCCUGCACGCUUUCUCUAGAUUGUGACAG